UUACAUGCUAGACGCAUAAUACGCUUCCCUCUCAGAACCCGUACAGAGACUCCUAAAACCGCGUACUUUCCGAGCAACCGUAAAUAUCUGUGUACUUACGAUACCAAUGGCUCGUAAUUAUAACUAACGUCAUUUAAAAGCUGAUAAAACGAGUUACAUAAAUUUUGAGUCACUUGAGAAGUGGUCUUCUUGCCAUGAAAAAUUGUGGAUGCAUACGAAACAUACACGUUCGUAACGUUUGUAACUUUCCACGAAUUAAUUCGAAAAUCGUCGACGAUAAAUUCUGCAGCCAACCAGAAUUUCGAUAUGAAUUCCUCGGUCGAAAAACGGGCGAUCGCAUCGUUGAACGAGAAUACUUAACCGGAAUGAGAACAUCGAUUCUGUCUGAAAACCAGACGUUUUACAGAUUUUGACGAUCUCCAAAGGUCAACUAUUUAAUCUCAGAUUUCUAAAUGUAUAAUUAAAACAGAUGAGAUUGCUAACAAUCUAUCCAGAUUUCCUUCAAGUUUUAUCGAUCUACAUUUGCGCGAAAUCUUUUUCUCUACGAGUGAAUUAACUUAAUCCCAUCUGUUUUCUCAAAUAUUUUAUGUCGAAAUCGUGUGCGUAGCGGACAGAGGUUGGGUUCAGAUUCAAUCGAUGAAAUAUUUCAGGGAUCUUGGUUGACGUAACGAGAAAUCAAUCCAUGGAAACUGUUCUCAUUCAUCCAGCUCGAUUUCAAGUUGGCAAGUCGCCGAAGGUCGAUGAACAGAGUAAAAUUCAGAAAUUCCAUGUAACGCCUACGUGCGCGAAUUACUUUGUCGAGCAGAAAUUCUACCGAGGAAAGUGAAAAUAAAUUUAUGACGUACGGACAGAUUCAUCCGUGCAAGAUUCUUUUUUUUGACGUAGCAUCAGCAUUUACAUUUAGCUCGGAAUUUUUUCUGGAGAACAAUUGCAAAAGUCAAAGAACAUCUCUACUUCAAUUGCACGAUAUCGGCUGACGCGAUAUUCAUCGCGUUAAACGUAUUAGGAGUUUAGAAAUGUAAGAGUCAAAGGAUAGAGAAAUCUAUAAAUAUAAGGAUAUAGAGUGUACAUAUCUAGAAACAUCUACACGCAUUCAUAUUUCGUUUUUAUAACACAGAUUUAAUUUCAUGGUUUUUAUUUAAAAUAGUUCCGACGCUUUCGCGCUCUCUGUAUUUGAAUCAGAGCGUUUCCCGCGCUCUGACUGUACCCCUUACCGCCCAUAGUGGGGCGCGAAAGCGUGUCAGGGGUGCUACCCGCGGCACGCUCUUUUAUAGACCCGACUCGUCAUCCCUUACCCCCUCCAUUUGACUCGCGCAUGCGCGCACGGGGUCUUACCCUCGCUUGACGCACAGCCAUUAGAAAUCUCAGCACACAGAGAUGCAAUACCGUGGCCGUUACAGUGCAGCGAGAGCACACGGUCUGGAAGCGAGCGGAAACAGCUGAACAACGGUGUAAGAGGGUUGCUGAACGUCAAUUUACCGUGCCAGAAGGUUUCGCUCCCCUUUUGUACAACCUAACCCAGGGCCUAAUCUACCUCAAGUGAUGCACGUUAAGAACAAAAUCGAUCGUUCCCGCACGCGUGCGUGCGACCACGCACAGAUUUUUUCUUCGAGACGCAGAAGAACAACAACAUACUAAUGUGUUUAAUACGCAUGCCACAGAUAAAAAGUUCGUUAAGGCGCCAUGAUGCAUCGCGUUGAGGACGAGUAGAGCAAGAAACUACUAAUAUAAUAUUGCCGAUUUUGCUCUGUCCACAACCCAUCCUGCUCUGUUGCUCGGACGGCGCUCACACUGAACUUCACUUCCCACUAAUAGUAAGUUCGAAUACUUUCCAAUUUUCUUUAUCAAUUUCCGUAAACGUUACGAUCAAGACAAUGAUGUUUUCUCUGACUUUAACUCGAUGGAAAAUUGUUCAAAGGCAAAAUUUCUUCUUUUAGGCAGCGAAGAAACUUGUUCACGUAUACAUACAAAUACAUACAUAUAUAUAUAUUUUUCUACACGUAUGUGUAUGUAUAUACGUAUACACAAAGCAGAUAGAUUGUUAAUCACACGAGAUCUCAAAAGAUAUGUAGAUACAACAGUAAACACGAAUGAUAAUGUCUAAAGGAGUUAAUGAAUUCAGUCUUUUCAUGAGCCACUGAUUUUCCUCUUACAUUCAACUAACGCUACCAACUUGAAUGGCAAACUUUUUUGAAUGAAUUGAUUUUCAAUACGUUCAGUCUUUGUAACCGACUCGAAGACGGCAGAGAGAAAGGGAGAGCGAGGGAAAAAGAUGAUAAAACAGUCUUUGAAGGAAUUCACCGCAACACGGUUCUGUGUCUCCUCGUGACGAAAUCUGUUCUUCCGGAAAAAAUUAGCUAUCGGGGCUCGUUUUGCCCCGGUGGCCGUGGACUUUGUCGUCUCUGGCUACCUGAGCCGAGUCACCCAAUCCAUGUUGCGUUCCUAUUUCCUUCUACCACCCCAUCAUUCGUUAUCUAUCAUCUAUCCCAUGUCCAAAGGAGCCAGCGGUGCAUCCUCCCGAUCUGUCGUCCUAUACAUUCGUUCCCUCGUCACUGGUUGUUGCCCCGGAA